AGUGAACGCUGGCGGCAGGCCUAAUACAUGCAAGUCGAACGGCAGCACAGUGGAGCUUGCUCCAUGGGUGGCGAGUGGCGGACGGGUGAGGAAUACAUGGGAAUCUGCCCAGUCGUGGGGGAUAACGUAUGGAAACGUACGCUAAUACCGCAUGCGCCCUUCGGGGGAAAGUCGGGGACCGCAAGGCCUGACGCGAUUGGAUGAGCCCAUGUUCGAUUAGCUAGUUGGCGGGUAACGGCCCACCAAGGCGACGAUCGAUAGCUGGUCUGAGAGGAUGAUCAGCCACACUGGAACUGAGACACGGUCCAGACUCCUACGGGAGGCAGCAGUAGGGAAUAUUGGACAAUGGGCGCAAGCCUGAUCCAGCCAUGCCGCGUGAGUGAAGAAGGCCCUCGGGUUGUAAAGCUCUUUGUUGGGAAGAAAAGCAGUUGGUUAAUACCCGAUUGUUCUGACGGUACCCAAGAAUAAGCACCGGCUAACUUCGUGCCAGCAGCCG
rnacentral:rRNA from 1 species